rnacentral:rRNA from 1 species
UACGUAGGGCGCAAGCGUUGUCCGGAAUUAUUGGGCGUAAAGAGCUCGUAGGUGGUUUGUCGCGUUGUUCGUGAAAUCUCACGGCUUAACUGUGAGCGUGCGGGCGAAACGGGCAGACUAGAGUACUGCAGGGGAGACUGGAAUUCCUGGUGUAGCGGUGGAAUGCGCAGAUAUCAGGAGGAACACCGGUGGCGAAGGCGGGUCGCUGGGCAGUAACUGACGCUGAGGAGCGAAAGCGUGGGGAGCGAACAGG